rnacentral:rRNA from 1 species
GACAGAGGGUGCAAGCGUUGUUCGGAAUUACUGGGCGUAAAGCGCGUGUAGGCAGCUCGGAAAGUCGGAUGUGAAAGCCCUGGGCUCAACCUAGGAAGUGCAUUCGAAACUUCCGAGCUGGAGUGCUGGAGAGGAAGGCGGAAUUCUCGGUGUAGAGGUGAAAUUCGUAGAUAUCGAGAGGAACACCGGUGGCGAAGGCGGCCUUCUGGACAGUUACUGACGCUGAGACGCGAAAGCGUGGGGAGCAAACAGG